rnacentral:rRNA from 1 species
AGAGUUUGAUCAUGGCUCAGAUUGAACGCUGGCGGCAGGCCUAACACAUGCAAGUCGAGCGGCAGCACGGGUACUUGUACCUGGUGGCGAGCGGCGGACGGGUGAGUAUUGCCUAGGAAUCUGCCUGGUAGUGGGGGAUAACGCUCGGAAACGGACGCUAAUACCGCAUACGUCCUACGGGAGAAAGCAGGGGACCUUCGGGCCUUGCGCUAUCAGAUGAGCCUAGGUCGGAUUAGCUAGUUGGUGAGGUAAUGGCUCACCAAGGCGACGAUCCGUAACUGGUCUGAGAGGAUGAUCAGUCACACUGGAACUGAGACACGGUCCAGACUCCUACGGGAGGCAGCAGUGGGGAAUAUUGGACAAUGGGCGAAAGCCUGAUCCAGCCAUGCCGCGUGUGUGAAGAAGGUCUUCGGAUUGUAAAGCACUUUAAGUUGGGAGGAAGGGCAGUUACCUAAUACGUAAUUGUUUUGACGUUACCGACAGAAUAAGCACCGGCUAACUCUGUGCCAGCAGCCGCGGUAAUACAGAGGGUGCAAGCGUUAAUCGGAAUUACUGGGCGUAAAGCGCGCGUAGGUGGUUCGUUAAGUUGGAUGUGAAAUCCCCGGGCUCAACCUGGGAACUGCAUUCAAAACUGACGAGCUAGAGUAUGGUAGAGGGUGGUGGAAUUUCCUGUGUAGCGGUGAAAUGCGUAGAUAUAGGAAGGAACACCAGUGGCGAAGGCGACCACCUGGACUGAUACUGACACUGAGGUGCGAAAGCGUGGGGAGCAAACAGGAUUAGAUACCCUGGUAGUCCACGCCGUAAACGAUGUCAACUAGCCGUUGGGAGCCUUGAGCUCUUAGUGGCGCAGCUAACGCAUUAAGUUGACCGCCUGGAUAUACGGCCGCAAGGUUAAAACUCAAAGGAAUUGACGG